rnacentral:rRNA from 1 species
GGCGGCAGGCCUAACACAUGCAAGUCGAACGGUAGCACAGAGAGCUUGCUCUUGGGUGACGAGUGGCGGACGGGUGAGUAAUGUCUGGGAAACUGCCUGAUGGAGGGGAUAACUACUGGAAACGGUAGCUAAUACCGCAUAACGUCGCAAGACCAAAGAGGGGGACCUUCGGGCCUCUUGCCAUCAGAUGUGCCCAGAUGGGAUUAGCUAGUAGGUGGGGUAACGGCUCACCUAGGCGACGAUCCCUAGCUGGUCUGAGAGGAUGACCAGCCACACUGGAACUGAGACACGGUCCAGACUCCUACGGGAGGCAGCAGUGGGGAAUAUUGCACAAUGGGCGCAAGCCUGAUGCAGCCAUGCCGCGUGUAUGAAGAAGGCCUUCGGGUUGUAAAGUACUUUCAGCGAGGAGGAAGGCGAUGCGGUUAAUAACCGUGUCGAUUGACGUUACUCGCAGAAGAAGCACCGGCUAACUCCGUG